CUUUGGGGCUUGCUCCAAGUUAGUGGCGAACGGGUGAGUAACAUAUCGGAACAUGUCCGGAAGUGGGGGAUAACGUAGCGAAAGUUACGCUAAUACCGCAUAUGCCCCGAGGGGGAAAGGGGGGGAUCGCAAGACCUCUCGCUUUCGGAGUGGCCGAUAUCAGAUUAGCUAGUUGGUGGGGUAAAGGCUCACCAAGGCGACGAUCUGUAGCUGGUCUGAGAGGACGACCAGCCACACUGGAACUGAGACACGGUCCAGACUCCUACGGGAGGCAGCAGUGGGGAAUUUUGGACAAUGGGCGCAAGCCUGAUCCAGCCAUACCGCGUGAGUGAAGAAGGCCUUCGGGUUGUAAAGCUCUUUCAGCCGGGAAGAAAUCACAUGGGUUAAUACCCUGUGUGGAUGACGGUACCGGAAUAAGAAGCACCGGCUAACUACGUGCCAGCAGCCGCGGUAAUACGUAGGGUGCGAGCGUUAAUCGGAAUUACUGGGCGUAAAGCGUGCGCAGGCGGUUUGUUAAGAUAGGCGUGAAAUCCCCGGGCUCAACCUGGGAACUGCGUUUAUGACUGGCAGGCUAGAGUAUGGCAGAGGGGGGUGGAAUUCCACGUGUAGCAGUGAAAUGCGUAGAGAUGUGGAGGAACACCGAUGGCGAAGGCAGCCCCCUGGGCCAAUACUGACGCUCAUGCACGAAAGCGUGGGGAGCAAACAGGAUUAGAUACCCUGGUAGUCCACGCGGUAAACGAUGGAUGCUAGGUGUCGGGGAGCGAUCUUCGGCGCCGCAGCUAACGCAUUAAGCAUCCCGCC
rnacentral:rRNA from 1 species